rnacentral:rRNA from 1 species
GGGUGAGUACGCGUACACAACAUACCAUAUANAGGUAUAGCUUUGGGAAACUGAAGGUAAUCCCCCAUAACAUUGCGAGAGGGCAUCUGAUUGCAAUUAAAGUUUCGGCGGUAUAUGAUUGGUGUGCGUUUGAUUAGCUAGUUGGUAGGUAACGGCCUACCAAGGCGACGAUCAAUAGCUGGCGUAAGAGCGCGACAGCCACACUGGAACUGAGACACGGUCCAGACUCCUACGGGAGGCAGCAGUAGGGAAUAUUGGACAAUGGAGGAAACUCUGAUCCAGCCAUGCCGCGUGAUAGAUGAAGGCCCUCUGGGUUGUAAAUAUCUUUUAUCUGGGAAGAAACAAUCUUAUUCUUAAGAUCUUGACGGUACCAGAGGAAUAAGCACCGGCUAACUCCGUGCCAGCAGCCGCGGUAUACGGAGGGUGCAAGCGUUAUCCGGAUUCACUGGGUUUAAAGGGUGCGUAGGCGGGCUGAUAGUCAGUGGUGAAAGCUCCGAGCUUAAUUUGGAAAUGCAUUGAUACUGCCAGUCUUGAAUGUCGUAAAGGUAAGCGGAAUGUUGCAUGUAGCGGGUGAAAAUGCUUAGAUUUGUUUACAGAACC